rnacentral:rRNA from 1 species
ACCAGCUCGACUAUAGCAUGUUGAAUUCACCAGGUCCCCCAUGGAUCACUGAAGUUAAGCAACGUUGAGCGUGGUUAGUAUCCGGAUGGGUGACCAUCUCGCGUGAUGCUGGCU